rnacentral:rRNA from 1 species
GGGUGAGUAAUGCAUCGGAACGUGCCCAAUCGUGGGGGAUAACGCAGCGAAAGCUGUGCUAAUACCGCAUACGAUCUACGGAUGAAAGCGGGGGAUCGCAAGGCCUCGCGCGAUUGGAGCGGCCGAUAUCAGAUUAGGUAGUUGGUGGGGUAAAGGCUCACCAAGCCAACGAUCUGUAGCUGGUCUGAGAGGACGACCAGCCACACUGGAACUGAGACACGGUCCAGACUCC